UACGGAGGGAGCUAGCGUUGUUCGGAAUUACUGGGCGUAAAGCGCGCGUAGGCGGCUUUGUAAGUUAGAGGUGAAAGCCCGGGGCUCAACCCCGGAACUGCCUUUAAAACUGCAUCGCUUGAAUCCGGGAGAGGUGAGUGGAAUUCCGAGUGUAGGGGUGAAAUUCGUAGAUAUUCGGAAGAACACCAGUGGCGAAGGCGGCUCACUGGACCGGCAGUUGACGCUGAGGUGCGAAAG
rnacentral:rRNA from 1 species